UGUUUCCAAGCCCAUAAAGGCUUAAAGACCCUCUAGAUCAGUAGUACAAAGCUCACCUCCCUCUAAACACACCCUGCCUGCCUUUCCUACAGCACAGACGUGAAUCAUCUUUGCAAACAAACUCAUGAUUACUGCAAGCAUCAGUGUAAUGAGUCAUGAAUGUGAAUGAUAACUGCGUUUGUGAAGAAUCUUGCCUUUUCCGGAUAUGGUGGUGAAGAACAGUCUGGUGCUUCCCAGAGGCUGAUAAAUGGUUCAGAGGGACGUUCAACUGCUGGCCUUUACGAUAUCCUGUUCCAGACCCUUCCACCUCGGACGUCUCUAGCCAUUGUCUUGAAGUUGGUUCCAGGAAAACCAGAGCCUCACAUGACUGAAUCACUGCAAACAGUUGUUUCAGUGGAAGAGAAUCACCCCCGAUGCCACAAGGAUUCUUCUGACACUACAAAACAAGAAUGGAGGCAGUGAUCGACUGGAUCCCGGCUUGCCGCGACACCCAUAAAACUGACCCCCACUCAUUGUGAACGGGCCUGUCUGACCCUGCUCAGAGUAACCCUCCCAGCUGUUCAAACCAGAGUCCUUUCCCUAUCUUCUCUUUUAUUUUCCGACUAAAGCUUUUGCCUGUAAACUCAUGCGGUUGCUUGUGUUUUAUCUUCUGUUUCUACUUAAGCA
rnacentral:lncRNA from 1 species